CGGUGACUAAUGCGGCCGCUGUUUGUGUUUACCUAUCUGCAAUCAUAAAACGCUAUCAUUGUAAUUCACUUCGCCUUCCACUCAUCGCAAUUCUAGUCAUAACCAUAUCUUUAUUUUCCUUUAAUUAUUUUGUUUCUCGCCCAUUAUUUACCGUUUAGGAUUCACGCGAUUGAAUUCGACUGACAAUCAUUAUUCGAUUCCUAUUAAUUACUAUUUACUGCCAUUUAAAUUGUUUGUUUCCCCACCCGAUUGCUAGUGAAUUAUAGUGUCUUGUGACUUAAAAUUAUUACAUAACAUCGUAAUAUGACUGUUUUGUUCAAAUAUAUAUUAUCGUAUUGAACAAUUGAGUAAAUUCGAUUUUGUUAACCGUCGAAAUGACUUGGGGUUUUGUUACUUGUGGCCCCAAUGAGGCUCUGGUCAUAUCAGGAUUUUGUUACAAUAAACCAAAUUUGGUACCUGGUGGAAGAGCAUUUGUUUGGCCUGUUCUACAAUAUUGUCAGAAAAUUUGUUUGAAUACUAUGACAAUACAGGUUGAUAGUCCUAAAGUAUAUACAAUUCAAGGUGUUCCAUUAUCUGUUACGGGUAUAGCUCAGGUGAAAAUACAAGGACAAAAUGAAGAAAUGCUUUUAACUGCAUGUGAGCAAUUUUUGGGUAAACCCAAGCAAGAGAUACAUGAAAUAGCAUUGCAUACACUUGAAGGUCAUCAACGAGCUAUUAUGGGUUCCAUGACUGUAGAGGAAAUUUAUAAAGACCGCAAAAAGUUCAGCAAACAAGUAUUUGAAGUAGCUUCUUCAGAUUUAGUUAACAUGGGUAUUACUGUGGUAUCAUAUACAAUAAAAGAUAUACGAGAUGAAGAAGGUUAUCUUCAAUCUCUUGGAUUAGCUAGAACAGCAGAAGUGAAACGCGAUGCUCGCAUAGGAGAAGCAGAAGCAAAAAAAGAAACCACAAUAAAACAAGCAAUGGCAGAAGAAGAAAGAAUGGCUGCAAAGUUGAUCAAUGAUACUGAAAUUGCUAAAGCUCAAAGAGAUUUUGAACUCAAAAAAGCAGCUUAUGAUGUUGAAAUUCAAACAAAAAAAGCUGAAGCAGAAUUAGCAUAUGAACUUCAAGCUGCAAAAACAAAGCAACGCAUUAAAGAAGAACAAAUGCAAAUUGAUGUGGUAGAAAGAACUCAACAAAUUGCUGUUCAAGAACAAGAAAUUCAAAGAAGAGAACGUGAGUUAGAAGCAACUGUAAGGAGGCCGGCAGAAGCUGAAAAGUUUCGAUUAGAGAAAUUGGCCCAAGCAAAUAGAACUCGAAUUAUAUUAGAAGCUGAAGCUGAAGCUGAAACAAUAAGACUCAAAGGAGAAGCAGAAUCUUUUGCGAUUCAAGCAAAAGCCAAAGCUGAUGCAGAACAAGCUAUGAAGAAAGCGGAAGCAUGGAGAGAAUAUAAAAAAGCUGCCAUUUUAGAUAUGGUCCUUGAAGCAUUGCCAAAACUUGCUGCUGAAGUUGCAGCACCUUUUGAAAACACCAAAAAGGUAACCAUGGUAGCCAGCGGAGAUGGCGAUGUAGGAGCUGUAAGAUUAACAAAUGAAAUUAUUCAAAUUGUUAAUAAAGUACCUGAAAUGGUUACUACUCUGACUGGAGUUAAAAUAAAUGAUGUCAUGAACAUGUAAGAAACAAGCUGGAAAUCGUCCAAAUAGUUAUUAUCAUUUUAUUUCCGAUGCUUAUGACCUUAUUCGUCUUCCCACACUCCACAACUAAUAUUGUGCCGUUACACAGUUUUGAUGCAUUCAAAUUCCGUAGUAAAAGUGUUGUUUUUGGCCGUCGCCAGGUGUGCACAUUAAGAGGCUAUAACUCUGGAAUCACCGCACAGCGUACAAAUUUCACAAAAACCAUCUACAUAUCAAUCUUAUUAUGUUCUGAAAUUUUUAUCGAAAUCGGUUUGAUGGAUCUUGAGUUAUAAAAUGUAUUCAAAAUGUACACUUAUAUAUAUAUAUAUAUAGAUAUGGUAUAAAGACAGUGUCGGCCUGGCCAAGGCAGCUAGGCAACAAUCGCUGCCUGGGCCCCCGUCUUUUUUUUUUAUAUGUAUAUUUUAAUGCAACGAAACGUUUGGAUAUAAUUACGAGGAGCACGUGGUCGCAAAGUAUUUUAACUUUUAAUUUUUAAAUCAAUAGUUAGAAUAAGUAAAUCGUACUUCUUAUUAUCUUAGUUCAGUUUUAUAAUUGUGCUGUAGUUCGAUAAAUAUAAAUUACCUAUAAUUAUUAUGGA